AUGAAUACAAUGACUUUCAUCAAAUACAGAAAAGACCCAUUCUCUUUCCCUUAAAUAUGUAAAAUGACAGAGGAACUGUAACUUAGGUUAACUUGUGUUUGAACUGUUUCCUCCCCUAAUGUUAAAGAAUACAAUGACUUUCAUCAAAUACAGAAAAGACCCAUUCUCUUUCCCUUAAAUAUGUAAAAUAACAGAGGAACUGUCACUUAGGUUAACUUGUGUUUGAACUGUUUCCUCCCCUAAUGUUAAAGAAUACAAUGACUUUCAUCAAAUACAGAAAAGACCCAUUCUCUUUCCCUUAAAUAUGUAAAAUGACAGAGGAACUGUAACUUAGGUUAACUUGUGUUUGAACUGUUUCCUCCCCUAAUGUUAAA